UCCUUGAUUCUUUCAAUUUCUUCUCUCCUUUCCUCAAAGUCACCUGCAAAUUCUAUUGACUCUGUCUCCAAAACACAUCCUGAAUUCAUCUAUGUUUCUCCUUCUCCACUACUGCUAAUUUAACACAAGCCCCACUUCAUCUCUCCCUAGUAAGCUUGGAACUCAUAACCCUGCUUCCACUUUCCCACCUUUCCAUUUUGCACACAUUAUUCAGAGUGGUAUUUCUUAAACAUAAGUCAUAUAAAGUGCCUCCCUGGUUAA
rnacentral:lncRNA from 1 species